rnacentral:lncRNA from 1 species
AACUGAUUUCCUCAGGGAGACCAACAUCUCAUGCAAACCACAGCAGCCUGCAAAAGCCAGGCUUCAUUCUCGGUGUGUGUGUGUCCAGGAUCUUUCAUGGACCCAGAGAGGUGGUGAGGGUCUUUACUGCCUUACCGCUGGUAUUUGUCACAGAAGCAGAAGCGAAGGACCAAGACACCUUGCAGAAGAAAGAGUAUACAGUUCCAGAGUGGUGAACAUUCAUGGUGACAGAGUUGAAGCCUGAAGCACGGCAACAAGUGACAGGCAUGACUACACAAGGAGGAAGCUGAGAGCUCACACUCGACAAAACAGAGAACUCGAACUGGAAUGUAAACUGAAGACCAGAAGCUGACCUUUGGAGAUAUUUAGUCCAGUGGACUGAGCAGCUGCUGCACUCUCAGUAUCUUCAACGUGAGACAGCCAUGUCAGAAAACCCAACGCAUAUCAUUUUCAGGCUCUGAUGUCACUGUCUGGCCUAAGGCUCCUACAUGCAGUGGUGCUACUGAAUAUGAACUCACAUAAGUGUACACAAACACAUAAAAACAAAAAGAUAAAGUUUCACAAAAAAACAUUCAUACCACAGCAUGGAUGUUUCUCGCUGCACUUGGACAGAUUUUCAGUGGAAAGAACAGAAAGCAGAACAAAAGGAAUCAGAUGCUCCUGCCUGUGGAUGCCAUCACCUCCGUAGGCCACGAGUUCAUGGGAAGCAGAUCCCUGAACACCUCACUCCUCACCACGGUCGUCUAGGCUAGAUGAAAUAGCUCUUGGGCCUUGAAAGAUAUCCCGAGUGUAUGUCAGCCAGCCAUGAGUCCAAAGCCUUCACAAUACUUACCAAACGGUCCUCGGCAAAGAUUCUGCCUGCAUCCCGAAACUCAGCAAGCUCUCUCUUAGUCUGUGCCUGUGUCACAACCUAAUCAUGCCAGCGACGACCACCUCCCACUCCCCUCGAAGAGUGCCCACUUGCUUAAAACGCACUGGCUGUAAUGUUUAUUACCCAAUGAGGACAACAGUGUUAUUGAUAGCAGCAAUAAGGAUGCCAUCAAACAUGAAUGCUCACAUUCAGCAAGG